rnacentral:rRNA from 1 species
GACGAACGCUGGCGGCAGGCCUAACACAUGCAAGUCGAGCGCCCCAGCGAUGGGGAGGCGGCGGGACGGGUGGAGUAACGCGUGGGAACGUGCCUCUUGCUACGGAAUAGCCUCGGGAAACUGGGAGUAAUACCGUAUGUGCCCUACGGGGGAAAGGAUUUAUCGGCAAGAGAUCGGCCCGCGUUGGAUUAGGUAGUUGGUGGGGUAAUGGCCUACCAAGCCGACGAUCCAUAGCUGGUUUGAGAGGAUGAUCAGCCACACUGGGACUGAGACACGGCCCAGACUCCUACGGGAGGCAGCAGUGGGGGAAUCUUAGACAAUGGGCGCAAGCCUGAUCUAGCCAUGCCGCGUGAGCGAUGAAGGCCUUAGGGUUGUAAAGCUCUUUCAGUGGGGAAGAUAAUGACUGUACCCACAGAAGAAGCCCCGGCUAACUCCGUG